rfam:Myotis lucifugus cont2.10452, whole genome shotgun sequence.
AUAGCGGUGGGUGGUUCCCUCAGCCGGAUUGCGAGAGGGCACAGGCCAGGCAGAGGGAACCCACCGGUGCAUG